rnacentral:rRNA from 1 species
UAACACCGGCGGCCCGAGUGGUGAUCGUGAUUAUUGGGUCUAAAGGGUCCGUAGCCGGUUUGGUCAGUCCUCCGGGAAAUCUGACGGCUCAACCGUUAGGCUUUCGGGGGAUACUGCCAGGCUUGGAACCGGGAGAGGUAAGAGGUACUACAGGGGUAGGAGUGAAAUCUUGUAAUCCCUGUGGGACCACCUGUGGCGAAGGCGUCUUACCAGAACGGGUUCGACGGUGAGGGACGAAAGCUGGGGGCACGAACCGGAUUAGAUACCCGGGUAGUCCCAGCCGUAAACGAUGCUCGCUAGGUGUCAGGCAUGGCGCGACCGUGUCUGGUGCCGCAGGGAAGCCGUGAAGCGAGCCACCUGGGAAGUACGGCCGCAAGGCUGAAACUUAAAUGAAUUGACGG